rnacentral:hammerhead_ribozyme from 1 species
AUCCAGCUGACGAGCCCCGAAUAGGACAAAACGUUCGUGCUGCAU